rnacentral:tRNA from 2 species
GCGGUUAUAGCUCAGUGGCCGAGCGCCCGGUUGAGACCGGGAGGAGGAGGGUUCGAUUCCCUUUAACUGCUCCA